AUGGCAGGAACUUUAGAAGGUGAUCACAUCCACAAUCAAGAGCAGAGGGCAUAGAAAAGCUGGCAAUAGUAAGGCCAUGUUACAAGCCUUAACAGCACCUAUAGUCGUUAAGGUCCCUGAGAAUGGCUAUAAUA
rnacentral:snoRNA from 1 species